UACGGGGGGGGCAAGCGUUGUUCGGAAUUACUGGGCGUAAAGGGCUCGUAGGCGGCCAACUAAGUCGGAUGUGAAAUCCCCAGGCUUAACCUGGGAACUGCUUCCGAAACUGCUGUGCUUGAGUGUGGGAGAGGCGCGUGGAAUUGCAGGUGUAGCGGUGAAAUGCGUAGAUAUCUGCAGGAACACCCGUGGCGAAAGCGGCGCGCUGGACCACUACUGACGCUGAGGAACGAAAGCUAGGGGAGCAAACAGG
rnacentral:rRNA from 1 species